rnacentral:rRNA from 1 species
UGGGGAAUUUUGCACAAUGCCCGAAAGGGUGAUGCAGCAACGCCGCGUGAGGGAUGAAGGCCUCCGGGUCGUAAACCUCUUUCGACCGGGAAAUGGUACCGGUGGAAGAAGCGCAAGUGACGGUAGGUACAGAAGAAGCACCGGCCAACUAC